rnacentral:rRNA from 1 species
GGCGGGGCAACUCGCCUAGUAAAGCGGCGAAAGGGUGCGUAAUACAUGGAGAACAUACCCCUCGGUUCGGGAUAACCCGACGAAAGUCGGGCUAAUACCGGGAGACGUCCUGGGAGGGCAUCCUCUUGGGACCAAAGCUUCACGCGCCGGGGGAGUGCUCCAUGGCCUAUCAGCUAGUUGGCGGGGUAACGGCCCACCAAGGCUGUGACGGGUAGCCGGACUGAGAGGUCGACCGGCCACAUGGGCACUGAGACACGGGCCCAACACCUACGGGUGGCAGCAGUAGGGAAUCUUGCGCAAUGGGCGAAAGCCUGACGCAGCGACGCCGCGUGGAGGACGAAGGCCUUCGGGUUGUAAACUCCUUUCGGGGGGGAAGAAUACUGACCUAACCCCCAGAAGAAGCACCGGCUAACUCCGUGCCAGCAGCUGCGGUAAUACGGAGAGUGCAAACGUUGUUCGGAUUCACUGGGCGUAAAGGGCACGUAGGCGGCCAUGGCAAUUCGGUUGUGGAAUACCGACGCUUACCGUCGGUGCGCCGACCGAAAAUACCUGGCUUGAGGGCGUGAGGGGUCGCUGGAACUCCUGGUGGAGCGGUGAAAUGCGUAGAUAUCAGGAGGAACGCCGGAGGCUAACGCGAGCGACUGGUGCGUCCCUGACACUGAGGUGCGAAAGCCGGGGGAGCAAACAGGAUUAGAUACCCUGGUAGUCCCGGCUGUAAACGAUGGACACUAGGUGGGGGAGGGCUUGCCUUUCUCUGCCGCAGCUAACGCGUUAAGUGUCCCGCCUGGGGAGUACGGCCGCAAGGUUAAAACUCAAAGGAAUUGACGGGGGCUCGCACAAGCGGUGGAGCAUGUGGUUCAAUUCGAUGCAACGCGAAGAACCUUACCUGGGCUUGAAGUGGAGGUGGUAG